CAAUAAUAGAGAUUUUUCACAUGUGAAAAGUGGUACAUAAAAUAUGUGUGAAAUAAUUAUCAUAGAGGAUUUAAAUAGUUAAAGCUGUGUCUUACUGAAGAUUACAAACAAAGAAAAAAAUGGAUGUGUCAGAAAGAACAUAUGAUUGACUCAAAGGGAAAAUAGUUAUACUUGUGAGACCUAAUUUACCUCUCACAAUAAACAUGGAGUGAAAAUGGAAUCAUAUCUUCAAAACUGAAGAGAAAUAAAUUCAAUUCCAGAAUUCUAUAAUCAGUUAAAUUAUGAGGGCAAUUGAUGACAGUUACAGAUGAACAAGAAGGUAUUUUUCACCCUCAGGCCCCUCCAAAAGAUUACUAAAGAAUACAUUUCAUAGGAAGAUUAAAAUGAAAGCAAAGGAGAAUAGAGUAAAAUACAAAAAUACUAUAGUAAAUUUGGUCAGAAUUCCUAAAAUAUGAUGCUUAAUUUACUUAAUUAAGAAUAUUAAAAUGAAAUACUAAAAAACUAACCUUAUCUGACUAACUUCUUUAGUAAAAUAUUAGGAAAUAAUAAAUUUGACAUGGGCAAUAGCUGGUAAGUGAUGAGAGAUUUCUAGUUCCUCCAAACUGACAGAAAAAAUGAUGACAAUAUGUGGUACCAUUAGCAUUAACUUAGCUUGUGAAGAGUGGAAUGUUACUAGUUAGAAGACUAUCUGAUAUCUAGUGUUUCUUGGCAGGUUCUCAGUCAUGUUUUACUUCUUUUAUUUUUAGAGCAUUAAAUACUUGCUUGGUCAAUGGUUACACAGGAUAAAGUCUGAAAUUUUUAGCCCUCUUAUUCCCUAAGUAUGACCAUAUGUACAAGCUCUGGUCACAUAGAACGCUCCUGAGAAUAUCACACAGAACAUGUUACAAUUACAUGCACAUAGAAAAGGCACUUGUCAUAGAUCAUGAACGGUAAGACCAAUGCCAAGCAUGGCAGAUCAAGUAAGAGUCAUCCCUUGAGUCAGCAAAAUCAUGUCGUACCAUAUUUUUUUUGCAAGGCUUUAAGUUUCCUCACAUAACUCAAAGUUCUAUGUUAAGGAAAUAACUUUGCUUAAGUUUCUUUUAUGUUUUGUUUCAAUACUGUAUAUGCAUUUUGGAAGGUGGUAUUCACAACCAAUAUAAAUGUAUGCAAUCAAGCCAUUACUUAAAGUAAGAUAUUUUGAAGUCACAUGUGUGAAAUAAUUUAUAUUUCAACAUCAUACAUGCUGAGAGAAAUAAUGAAAAAAGAUUGAUGAAAACUCUAAAUUUGGGAUGAAAAGUUAACAUGUUUCAAGCAGUAACAUUACAGCACAAACCAAAAGGUUUCAAAUUUUGGAAAGUGGUGUGAAGAAACUGUUCAAAGUGUUGUGUGGUUAUAUAAGGAGGAAACCAGAUCUAAUCUGAAGGAGUUGAAACUUCCCUGAUGAAUGACAUUUCAGAAACAUGUCAAGAAUAAGAUUUAAGGUGAAGAGGUGGACAAAUUCCAAGCAGAGAGAACAUAAAAAAGAAAGGUUUAUGAAUUUUAUGAUUUGAUUAGAGCCUGAAAAAGAAAAUUCUAUGGCAAAAGGCUAGAAGAUUCUGUAGAAUCCAUGUCACAGGGGCUUCUCUGAAACUUUUCAGCUCAUAGCAUCUUAUUUUGGAAAGGAACAUGUAAUCAAUCUAGCAAACGUGUAAGAAAAGCUUAAGUGUAAGGUUUUAUUUUUCAGUCAAUGUUAAGUAUUUUAAAUAGGAACAAAUAAUCUGAAUUACAGACAAUCUAGAUGUCACCUCUUUAAAGUUUAAUGUAAUGACAUUUGAAUGUACAUUUAACUUGGAAAUAUUAUGCAUAUCAAUAUUCACAAAAUGUCUUGCUCUUUGCUGGUUCCUGCUUACUGUUUGCGGCCACCAUGAACUGGGGCCCAGCCAUGCCCACCUGCCUUGGAGCCAACUGAGUACAGAUUGAAAGUUCCAAAAACUUAUACAGCUUGCCUCCACCACCUCCUUCUGCCAUGAUAUACUGCCUUGAAGCUGCCCAACCAUGCAAGGACUAAAAGUGUUAAAAUGUAUAUACCCAGUGGAUUGAUCCACAGGCCGGAUCAAGUGGCACCCAGCAUGGGGGCUCCUGGCAUGGGGGAGUCAACGAGGGAGCCAUUCGAGAACACCAGCUAAAAGUGAAAGCAAAUUGAAUCAAGGACCGAGGCCUGUGCAGACGACCACCCGACGUGCUGCCCGAGUCAUGAUACUUCUAAAUCAAAAGAGAGGAGCCAAGGAAAACAUGAUAAUUGACUUCUUCAGCUGCACUUUGCUGAAGUUAUCAAGGCAGCUAUUAAAGCACAUGAAACAUGUUCUUGCUUGGACACGCUACCGUGGACACUCCGCCAUGGAAACAUCCUGAAGUCUUUCAGCCUAGAGCACUGACAAGCAAGAAAUUACACUGGUCAAAAUGAAGCCGUAUUGUGAGCCUAAAACUGCAAUGACAGGAAAAAUUGAAACUCUAGUAAUGACAAAAAAUGGUGAACAGAUUGCUCUGAUCAAUAGUUUUAAAGCUAAAAUUGUACUCUUGAAGAAAAAGCUAAUUCAUAGCAUUUUGUUAUAUUGUCUCCAUAUUUUUGUGGUGAUGACUGAUAUUUUAAAACCAUGAAAGCAUUGCAAACUUUAAGGUUAACUUCAGAGUGCAUGGUGAAAGUUUUUUUUAUUGUUUUUCUAAGAGAUAUUGCCAGUGAAUAAAAUAUCAAAAUGCAUUUA